AGAACGAACGCUGGCGGCAGGCUUAACACAUGCAAGUCGAGCGCCCCGCAAGGGGAGCGGCAGACGGGUGAGUAACGCGUGGGAACAUACCCUCCGGUUCGGAAUAGCUCAGGGGAAACUUGGAUUAAUACCGGAUACGGCCUAGCGGCGAAAGAUUCAUCGCCGGAGGAUUGGCCCGCGUCUGAUUAGCUAGUUGGUGGGGUAAUGGCCCACCAAGGCGACGAUCAGUAGCUGGUCUGAGAGGAUGAUCAGCCACAUUGGGACUGAGACACGGCCCAAACUCCUACGGGAGGCAGCAGUGGGGAAUAUUGGACAAUGGGCGCAAACCUGAUCCAGCCAUGCCGCGUGAGUGAUGACGGCCUUAGGGUUGUAAAGCUCUUUCGCUAGGGACGAUAAUGACGGUACCUAGACAAGAAGCCCGGCUAACUUCGUGCCAGCAGCCGC
rnacentral:rRNA from 1 species